rnacentral:rRNA from 1 species
UUGGUUAAGUUAGAAAGGGCGCACGGUGGAUGCCUUGGCACUAGGAGCCGAAGAAGGACGGGACUAACACCGAUAUGCUUUGGGGAGCUGUACGUAAGCGUUGAUCCAGAGAUUUCCGAAUGGGGGAACCCACUAUCUUUAGUCGGAUAGUAUCCUUACGUGAAUACAUAGCGUGAGGAAGGCAGACCCAGGGAACUGAAACAUCUAAGUACCUGGAGGAAGAGAAAGAAAAAUCGAUUUCCUGAGUAGCGGCGAGCGAAACGGAAAGAGCCCAAACCAAGAAGCUUGCUUCUUGGGGUUGUAGGACACUCUAUACGGAGUUACAAAAGAAAGUUAUAAAUGAAGCGGUCUGGAAAGGCCCGCCAAAGACGGUAACAGCCCGGUAGUUGAAAUGGCUUUCCCUCCAGAGUGGAUCCUGAGUACGGCGGAACACGUGAAAUUCCGUCGGAAUCCGGGAGGACCAUCUCCCAAGGCUAAAUACUCCCUAGUGACCGAUAGUGAACCAGUACCGUGAGGGAAAGGUGAAAAGCACCCCGGAAGGGGAGUGAAACAGUUCCUGAAACCGUGUGCCUACAAGUAGUUAGAGCCCGUUAAUGGGUGAUAGCGUGCCUUUUGUAGAAUGAACCGGCGAGUUACGAUUUGUUGCAAGGUUAAGCGGAAAAAGCGGAGCCGUAGCGAAAGCGAGUCUGAAUAGGGCGCAUAAGUAACAGGUCGUAGACCCGAAACCAGGUGAUCUACCCAUGUCCAGGAUGAAGGUAAGGUAAUACUUACUGGAGGUCCGAACCCACGCACGUUGAAAAGUGCGGGGAUGAGGUGUGGGUAGCGGAGAAAUUCCAAUCGAACUUGGAGAUAGCUGGUUCUCUCCGAAAUAGCUUUAGGGCUAGCCUCGAGGUAAAGAGUCAUGGAGGUAGAGCACUGUUUGGACUAGGGGCCCUUCUCGGGUUACCGAAUUCAGAUAAACUCCGAAUGCCAUGUACUUAUACUCGGGAGUCAGACUGCGAGUGAUAAGAUCCGUAGUCGAAAGGGAAACAGCCCAGACCACCAGUUAAGGUCCCCAAAUAUAUGUUAAGUGGAAAAGGAUGUGGGGUUGCUUAGACAACCAGGAUGUUGGCUUAGAAGCAGCCACCAUUGAAAGAGUGCGUAAUAGCUCACUGGUCGAGUGACCCCGCGCCGAAAAUGUACCGGGGCUAAACAUAUUACCGAAACUGUGGAUGAACCUCUUUAGAGGUUCGUGGUAGGAGAGCGUUCUAAGGGCGGUGAAGUCAGACCGGAAGGACUGGUGGAGCGCUUAGAAGUGAGAAUGCCGGUAUGAGUAGCGAAAGAAGGGUGAGAAUCCCUUCCACCGAAUAUCUAAGGUUUCCUGAGGAAGGCUCGUCCGCUCAGGGUUAGUCGGGACCUAAGCCGAGGCCGAUAGGCGUAGGCGAUGGACAACAGGUAGAGAUUCCUGUACCAGUGCUAAUUGUUUAACCGAUGGGGUGACACAGAAGGAUAGGGAAUCGCACGAAUGGAAAUGUGCGUCCAAGCAGUGAGUGUGAGAAGUAGGCAAAUCCGCUUCUCGCGAAGCAUGAGCUGUGAUGGGGAAGGAAAUUAAGUACGGAAGUUCCUG